GAUGAACGCUGGCGGCGUGCCUAAUACAUGCAAGUCGAGCGAACAGACGAGGAGCUUGCUCCUCUGACGUUAGCGGCGAACGGGUGAGUAACACGUGGAUAACCUACCUAUAAGACUGCGAUAACUUCGGGAAACCGGAGCUAAUACCGGAUAAUAUAUUGAACCGCAUGGUUCAAUAGUGAAAGACGGUUUUGCUGUCACUUAUAGAUGGAUCCCCGCCGCAUUAGCUAGUUGGUGAGGUAACGGCUUACCAAGGCAACGAUGCGUAGCCGACCUGAGAGGGUGAUCGGCCACACUGGAACUGAGACACGGUCCAGACUCCUACGGGAGGCAGCAGUAGGGAAUCUUCCGCAAUGGGCGAAAGCUUGACGGAGCAACGCCGCGUGAGUGAUGAAGGUCUUCGGAUCGUAAAACUCUGUUAUUAGGGAAGAACAAAUGUGUAAGUAACUAUGCACGUCUUGACGGUACCUAAUCAGAAAGCCACGGCUAACUACGUG
rnacentral:rRNA from 1 species